UUGAUAUCAUGCUGUCAGCUGCAGCAGGAGAAGAGAAGCUCCAUCAGGUCACCUUCAACACCAACCAUGUUCUCUGUAGCUCUGCUGCUGCUGCUGGCUGCUGGAUCCUGUGUGAAGUGUGAACAGUUGACACAGCCAGCCUCUGUGACUGUGCAGCCAGGUCAACGUCUGACCAUCACCUGUCAGGUCUCUUAUUCUGUUAGCAGCUACUACACAGCCUGGAUCAGACAGCCUGCAGGGAAAGGACUGGAGUGGAUUGGUAGCAAAUACACUGGCGCUUCAUACUAUAAAGAUUCACUGAAGAGCAAGUUCAGUAUCGACUUAGACUCUUCCAGCAACACAGUGACUCUGAACGGACAGAGCAUGCAGCCUGGAGAUUCUGCUGUGUAUUACUGUGCCAGAGACAUAUACAGUGGGGUGGGCUGGGCUUUCGACUACUGGGGAAAAGGCACUAUGGUAACCGUGUCAUCAGCCACUUCCACUAAACCAACCGUGUUUCCCCUGAUACAAUGUGGCUCUGGGACUGGAAGCACGAUCACUCUCGGCUGCUUGGCCACCGGCUUCACACCGUCUUCUCUGACCUACACAUGGACCAAAAACGGGGCUGCCUUGACAGACUUCAUUCAGUACCCCACUGUACAGAAGGACAACUUCUAUCAGGGUGUCAGUCAAAUCCAAGUGAGUAGACAGGACUGGGACGCCGAGCACGAAUUCAAUUGUGCCGCGACACAUGCAGCAGGACUGGUGGAAAAGGGUUUCAAAAAGCCAGUGGUGAUUUAUAAAGAGCCAACUGUUAAAUUAUUUGCCUCGUCUAAUGACGAAAGUGAGGCUUACUUCUCCUGCUUUGCCAAUGAUUUUUCACCAAACCAAUACGAGAUCAAAUGGCUGCUAAACGAUCAGAAACUCACCAACCAAAUCCACGAGGUCAAAACACUUACUGCGGAAAGAAAGGACGAGAAAGGAAAUCCACUGUACAGCGCAGCAAGUUUUGUCAUGCUGAAUAGCAGUGAUCUGAGUUCGGACAGCGAUGUCAUGUGUCAGUUUGAGGGGAAAAAACAUCAAAUUGUGAACAGUACACAUCACCAAAAACCUAUAAAUCCGACAGAACCAGACACAGGAUGUCCUGAAGCAGAUGUGGAUAUACAAUUAAUCGGACCCUCAAUUCAGAACAUGGUUUUAAACAGACAAGGAAUGGUAUAUUGUCAAGUCAGGAUAAACAAAAUAAAUCUGGAGAAAAUUUCGUGGGAGACCGAAAAUGGAAAAUCGAUAAAUGAUGCAGAGCAAAUUACCAAAUUUGAUGGACCUAACAAAAUAUAUAAGGCUCAACUUCCCAUCACCUUUGACGAAUGGAGCCGGGGCGACAAGUUUGUCUGCAAGGUGGAACACAACGAUUGGAUGACACCUCUUAAAAGAACCUACCAAAGGAUUAAUGGAGGAACGACUCAGCGGCCAUCAGUGUUUAUGUUACCUCCCCUAGAACAUUCUAAAAAAGAAACGGUGACCCUGAGUUGCUUUGUGAAAGACUUCUACCCGCAUGAGGUAUUUGUGUCUUGGCUGGUUGAUGAUGAGGAAGCAGACUUUCCAUUCAGCACCACAACCCCUGUAGAAAACAAUGGAUCCUUUUCCGCUUAUGGCCAGUUAACAAUCAGCAGUGACCAUUGGAAAAACAAUGACACUGUGUAUAGCUGUGUAGUUUACCACGAGUCUCUGGUUGACACAGCAAUUAGAUCUAUUGUCAGAUCCAUUGGGCACAGAACAUCUGAAAACACCAACAUGGUCAACCUCAACAUGAACAUCCCUGAUACGUGCAAGGCCCAGUAGAUGUGAUUCUGUGUCACUGCGUCUUCUGUUGUUUGUUGUUUAAUGUUUGUGCUUGUUUUAUCACAUUAUGUUUGUCGUUUUAAUGCAGAUUCAAAAUAAAAAAAAAGCUCUUUGCAAUUCA